rnacentral:rRNA from 1 species
CCUACGGGCGGCAGCAGUGAGGAAUAUUGGUCAAUGGGCGCGAGCCUGAACCAGCCAAGUAGCGUGAAGGAUGACUGCCCUACGGGUUGUAAACUUCUUUUAUAAAGGAAUAAAGUGAGGCACGUGUGCCUUUUUGUAUGUACUUUAUGAAUAAGGAUCGGCUAACUCCGUGCCAGCAGCCGCGGUAAUACGGAGGAUCCGAGCGUUAUCCGGAUUUAUUGGGUUUAAAGGGAGCGUAGAUGGGUUUUUAAGUCAGUUGUGAAAGUUUGCGGCUCAACCGUAAAAUUGCAAUUGAUACUGGGAGUCUUGAGUACAGUUGAGGCAGGCGGAAUGCGUGGGGUAGCGGUGAAAUGCAUAGAUAUCACGAAGAACCCCGAUUGCGAAGGCAGCUUACUAAGCUGUCACUGACAUUGAUGCUCGAAAGUGUGGGGAUCAAACAGGAUUAGAUACCCUUGUAGUC